rnacentral:rRNA from 1 species
GACGUUGAUUGCAACGGGUUGAGUGGUGGUCUUGCUCUAUUCUGGCAUGAAUCAUAUGAGGUGGUGAUUUUGGACAAGGAGGAGAGGUUCAUUGAUGCCAUAGUGCGUGUUCAGGAGGGUGCAGCCCAAUGGAGAGUUACAUGUGUUUAUGGGGAACCGAGAGUGGAGAAUCGGCAUGUCAUGUGGGAGAAGAUGCAGCGCCUGAAAAAUAUCAAUGAUCUUCCGUGGUUGGUAAUUGGCGAUUUUAAUGAAGCCCUGUGGAAUUAUGAACACCUAUCAGCUACACCACGGGCGGAGGCUCAGAUGGUUGCAUUUCGGGACGUCUUGGAGACGUGUGAUCUCGUGGAUCUUGGGUUUACG